UACAGAGGGUGCGAGCGUUGUUCGGAAUCAUUGGGCGUAAGGCGCGUGUAGGCGGCUCGAUAAGUCUGCUGUGAAAGUUCAGGGCUCAACCCUGAAAUGCCGGUGGAAACUGUCGAGCUAGGGUCCGGAAGAGGCGAGUGGAAUUCCUGGUGUAGCGGUGAAAUGCGCAGAUAUCAGGAGGAACACCAAUGGCGAAGGCAGCUCGCUGGGACGGUACUGACGCUGAGACGCGAAAGCGUGGGGAGCAAACAGG
rnacentral:rRNA from 1 species